rnacentral:rRNA from 1 species
GUGCGUGUUGAGCCUGUUGGAUUCAGAUUGCGAUCUUGAGAGCGAAUUCCCAUGCGAGUAACUUAACGGUAUGUGUGAUACAGUGUAAUUAACACUAAGUCAACUUGUCACGGAGACUGGAAUGAUCACGGGUGAACAGUACCAUGGAUAUCUAAACGGGAUUGCUUCUGCAAUGUUCAUCGAUUAACAUCUAGAGGGUUCUGGGAUGGCACUGUCGCCGAUGAUGGUGUUGGAUGAGAUAAUGGGAUUUUACACCUGUACAUGGAGUAGGGCUCUGAUACUAGGACUCCGAGAUGUAUAGCUGAUACCAGCAGCCCAUGCGCUAUGGAGCGGAGAUUUGACCGAAAACUUGUAGAACCGGAUAGCGAUGCAGGAGGACUCUGAGAGAUUUCCACCACUCAGAGCGCUGGGAUUAUCUCAAAAUGUGGCACAAUACUUGGCGACCCAGUAUGCUGUCAGCCUUUUAGAGGAGACCAAAGAUCCGCGUGGCCGGGAUCUCUCUUAGGAACCCUGUCUAGCUAUCGCGUACUGCAGAGGUUUCGCGACUGCUGCGCGCUUAUACAGACGGGUGCGUGAGAUAAUAGACAUCUACGGGCUCCUACACUCAGAGGCCAUACAGUGUACAGGGGUGAAAUGCCAUUAUCCCAUCAAGACAUGAUCGCCNCAAAGUGCAAUGCCCGAGCGCUCUCGAUUUUAAUGGAUGAAACCUGCGGAAGCCACCACGAAUAGGGCUCUGGCAGGCCUUCCGAAAAUAACCCAGACCCGGGGGAAGGUUGACUAAGGUUAAUCAAAGCGGCCCGCCAAAAUGUAGUUACGCUGGUACGCCC